GUGCCAGCCGCCGCGGUAAUACGAAGGUGGCAAGCGUUACUCGGAAUUACUAGGCGUAAAGGGCAGGUAGGCGGUUUGAUAAGUCUGUUGUGUCAGCUCCUGGCUUAACUGGGAGAGGUCAACGGAAACUAUCAGGCUUGAGUAUAGGAGAGGAUACUGGAAUUCCUGGUGUAGCGGUGAAAUGCGCAGAGAUCAGGAGGAACACCAAUGGCGAAAGCAAGUAUCUGGACUAUUACUGACGCUCAGCUGCGAAAGCUAGGGGAGCAAACAGGAUUAGAUACCCCCGUAGUCC
rnacentral:rRNA from 1 species